CUCAUAUCCUGGAAGCAGGUGUCUUAGCAUCGUCCACACGAGUGAUGCCAUCUUAGAUGAUUUAGUUUAAGGAUGGGAAUUACAUUGUAGAAAUCACUGCCACCAGCCUCUGUGUUUGUGCUGCCACUGAUAUAACAUCCUGGAGCAUAAGAACUACCUUUCUUUUUGCUUGUAUUUGCUGUUGCAGAGCUUAACAUGGUACC